GGAUCCAGACUUUGAUUAUGGCUCAGGACGAACGCUGGCGGCGUGCCUAAUACAUGCAAGUAGAACGCUGAAGACUUUAGCUUGCUAAAGUUGGAAGAGUUGCGAACGGGUGAGUAACGCGUAGGUAACCUGCCUACUAGCGGGGGAUAACUAUUGGAAACGAUAGCUAAUACCGCAUAACAGCAUUUAACCCAUGUUAGAUGCUUGAAAGGAGCAAUUGCUUCACUAGUAGAUGGACCUGCGUUGUAUUAGCUAGUUGGUGAGGUAACGGCUCACCAAGGCGACGAUACAUAGCCGACCUGAGAGGGUGAUCGGCCACACUGGGACUGAGACACGGCCCAGACUCCUACGGGAGGCAGCAGUAGGGAAUCUUCGGCAAUGGGGGCAACCCUGACCGAGCAACGCCGCGUGAGUGAAGAAGGUUUUCGGAUCGUAAAGCUCUGUUGUAAGAGAAGAACGUGUGUGAGAGUGGAAAGUUCACACAGUGACGGUAACUUACCAGAAAGGGACGGCUAACUACGUGCCAGCAGCCGCGGUAAUACGUAGGUCCCGAGCGUUGUCCGGAUUUAUUGGGCGUAAAGCGAGCGCAGGCGGUUUAAUAAGUCUGAAGUUAAAGGCAGUGGCUUAACCAUUGUUCGCUUUGGAAACUGUUAGACUUGAGUGCAGAAGGGGAGAGUGGAAUUCCAUGUGUAGCGGUGAAAUGCGUAGAUAUAUGGAGGAACACCGGUGGCGAAAGCGGCUCUCUGGUCUGUAACUGACGCUGAGGCUCGAAAGCGUGGGGAGCAAACAGGAUUAGAUACCCUGGUAGUCCACGCCGUAAACGAUGAGUGCUAGGUGUUAGGCCCUUUCCGGGGCUUAGUGCCGCAGCUAACGCAUUAAGCACUCCGCCUGGGGAGUACGACCGCAAGGUUGCAACUC
rnacentral:rRNA from 1 species